rnacentral:rRNA from 1 species
AUUAGAUACCCGGGUAGUCCCAGCUGUAAGCGAUGCGCGUUAGGUGUAUCGGUGACCACGAGUCACCGAGGUGCCGAAGGGAAACCGUGAAACGUGCCGCCUGGGAAGUACGGUCGCAAGGCUGAAACUUAAAGGAAUUGGCGGGGGAGCACCACAACAGGUGGAGCCUGCGGUUUAAUCGGACUCAACGCCGGGAAGCUCACCGGAUAAGACAGCUGAAUGAUAGCCGGGUUGAAGACUCUGCUUGACUAGCUGAGAGGAGGUGCAUGGC